GUAGCCGGGUUGAGAGACCGACCGGCCAGAUUGGGACUGAGACACGGCCCAGACUCCUACGGGAGGCAGCAGUGGGGAAUCUUGCGCAAUGGGGGGAACCCUGACGCAGCGACGCCGCGUGCGGGACGGAGGCCUUCGGGUCGUAAACCGCUUUCAGCAGGGAAGAGUCAAGACUGUACCUGCAGAAGAAGCCCCGGCUAACUACGUGCCAGCAGCCGCGGUAAUACGUAGGGGGCGAGCGUUAUCCGGAUUCAUUGGGCGUAAAGCGCGCGUAGGCGGCCCGGCAGGCCGGGGGUCGAAGCGGGGGGCUCAACCCCCCGAAGCCCCCGGAACCUCCGCGGCUUGGGUCCGGUUGGGGAGGGUGGAACACCCGGUGUAGCGGUGGAAUGCGCAGAUAUCGGGUGGAACACCGGUGGCGAAGGCGGCCCUCUGGGCCGAGACCGACGCUGAGGCGCGAAAGCUGGGGGAGCGAACAGGAUUAGAUACCCUGGUAGUCCCAGCCGUAAACGAUGAACGCUAGGUGUGGGGGGACGAUCCCUCCGUGCC
rnacentral:rRNA from 1 species